AACGCACCUUGCGCCCUUUGGUAUUCCGAAGGGCAUGCCUGUUUGAGUAUCAUUAAUACCUCACUCUUGAAUUCCUUGCGAAGUCAAGCAGUGGACUUUGGAGGUUUUUGCAGGCCAUCACUGGUCAGCUCCUCUUAAAUGCAUUAGCGGAACUCUAUGCAGUACCAGCCUCGGUUUGAUAAUCCUAUCUAUGCUGUCGCUGUUGGACUGUGCUGUUUGGCUUACAACCGUCUUCGGACUGUCACUUCUGUGGCAUAACAUUAAACUUGAUCUCAAAUCAGGUAGGACUACCCGCUGAACUUAA
rnacentral:misc_RNA from 1 species